GUAUGACCACAAUGGAUUCUCAUCUUUAUCACUGCUAGCAAUUGUCUGCACUGAAAGAUUUCAGCACUGCUCACUCAGGAUCUCAGCGUGUGUCCUUCACUUUGAAAUCUAUUUUCUGAGGUAACACGUCUGAACCCUGAAAAGCGGAUGGAUGGAUUUUGUCAGGACCAACUGAUUUUGUGAAACCGUUAACCUUGGACCAAUCAAAGGUGUUGGUGCCGGAGUAUGGUGGAAACAGGGAGGACGAAGAAAGUUCCGUUUCAUAUAUUUAUUAGAAAGCUACAAUUCCAAUGUCAGCCUGAAUUUAGCCAUCAUCUACUGGGCAGCUGUGAAUAUUCAUGAGUAUUAAUGAGAUAGAAACAGUCUGUGGACCGCCGGCAGGAGCAUGAUAAAUGUGAUCCUAUACAUUCUGUAAAAUCAUCAGGCUGCUAACUAUAGUGUAUGGAUUCGAUUCAAGGCAGAGAAUCUGCACUAGAUGGGGCUGAAAGAAGAUGCUAGCAGACAGACUUACCACCAUAACCAUACUCUUCCUCCGAAGACACGCUAAUGUGUUCAACUUGGUAAAAUAAAUGAACAUCUUUUAAAUCUACAGCCAACCACAAGGUGCUGCUAUAUAACUAUAAUUGUGUAUUUAACUAAUGGAGGGACACUUGCAAUCGGGAUGUGCAAUAAUCCGAUUUGAAAGACACUCUAUAAAAUGGAACUACUAUGAUCACCGUGAUCUGAUUUCCUGUAAGCGCUGGAGUGUAAUUCAUAGAUAUAUGGAACUUCCGGCCGCGGUGGAACGCACGGCCAUCUUGUUUCCUGUCAUACGCGGAUCUGAUUUCCUGAAAGAACUGGAACGCAAAUCGCGGACAUAUGGAACUUCCGGCCACGGUGGAACGCACGGCCAUCUUGUUUCCGGUCAUGCGCGGCUGGGAACACACACCGAUUAGCGGUGAUCUAGAGCAGCUGUUCUGUGUAUUAGUUAGGGUAUUUAGGGAGAUGAAGGGGAGAGCAUCACACGCUUCUGAAGAAGAACUAUUCAAGUUCGAAACGCGUUAAGCGUACACUCUCUCGCUGUAUUUGUAACCCUGUUGGAGCUUCACCAUCUACACUGGACGCUGAGGAACUGUUUGGGGUACUGGUUUCCGGAGCCAUUUCCCGUGGGUGGACCAUCUGACCUUUUCCAGACCUCGCCUCCUGUGGCUAUGCUCCAUACUGGGGACUUGUGUAUAUGCCUUUUUUCAUCAAUUUGAUG